CUUGUACACACCGCCCGUCACACCAUGGGAGCGGGUUCUGCCAGAAGUAGUUAGCCUAACCGCAAGAAGGGCGAUUACCACGGCAGGGUUCGUGACUGGGGUG
rnacentral:rRNA from 1 species